rnacentral:rRNA from 1 species
UACGUAAGUGGCGAGCGUUAUCCGGAAUUACUGGGCGUAAAGCGUGCGUAGACGGUUAUUUAAGUCGGGUGUGAAAGCCCCGGGCUCAACCUGGGAAUUGCAUUCGAGACUGAAUAGCUAGGGUACGGUAGAGGGAAGUGGAAUUUCCGGUGUAGCGGUGAAAUGCGUAGAUAUCGGAAGGAACAUCAGUGGCGAAAGCGACUUCCUGGACCAGUACCGACGUUCAGGCACGAAAGCGUGGGGAGCAAACAGG